CUGGAGCGGAGCGCUCUAGAAUCUUUGACUAAGAAAACUUGGCUUAACAGCAAAAUACCCCACAACGCCAUCAAGCUAGCUGGACGCUGCAUUCUCCGUGCUGACAGAACAGCUGACUCCGAGGCUAAUAGAGAGGAGAAAUGGAGAGGUGACAGGUUGCAGAGGUUGUGUUGGAAGACCAUGGAUGGAAGAACAGAGGGCCGUUCCGUGAGGCACAGAUUGAACCAAAUUAAUUAAUUUGAAGCCAGGCUGCAUUGCCCCUCUGAAGAACCUGAGGCGCUUGGGGCUGCUGCGGGUGCAAGACUUCUUCAGCAGCUUCGAGUCCUACAACUUCACUGCAGACCAGAUCGAUGCCAUCUUC